GACGAACGCUGGCGGCGCGCCUAACACAUGCAAGUCGAACGAGAGAGAGGGAGCUUGCUUCCUCGAUCGAGUGGCGAACGGGUGAGUAACGCGUGAGGAACCUGCCUCAAAGAGGGGGACAACAGUUGGAAACGACUGCUAAUACCGCAUAAGCCCACGGCUCGGCAUCGAGCAGAGGGAAAAGGAGCAAUCCGCUUUGAGAUGGCCUCGCGUCCGAUUAGCUAGUUGGUGAGGUAAUGGCCCACCAAGGCGACGAUCGGUAGCCGGACUGAGAGGUUGAACGGCCACAUUGGGACUGAGACACGGCCCAGACUCCUACGGGAGGCAGCAGUGGGGAAUAUUGCACAAUGGGGGAAACCCUGAUGCAGCGACGCCGCGUGGAGGAAGAAGGUCUUCGGAUUGUAAACUCCUGUUGUUGAGGAAGAUAAUGACG
rnacentral:rRNA from 1 species